rnacentral:misc_RNA from 1 species
CCGAGUUUACAACUCCCAAACCCCUGUGAACAUACCUAUCGUUGCUUCGGCGGACCCGCCCCGGCGCCCUCGGGCCCGGAUCAGGCGCCCGCCGGAGACCCCAAACUCUUGUAUUUCUUUAGUAUCUUCUGAGUAAACAAGCAAAUAAAUUA